rnacentral:rRNA from 1 species
AACGAACGCUGGCGGCAUGCCUAACACAUGCAAGUCGAACGAGACCUUCGGGUCUAGUGGCGCACGGGUGCGUAACGCGUGGGAAUCUGCCCUUGGGUUCGGAAUAACAGUUGGAAACGACUGCUAAUACCGGAUGAUGACGUAAGUCCAAAGAUUUAUCGCCCAAGGAUGAGCCCGCGUAGGAUUAGCUAGUUGGUGAGGUAAAGGCUCACCGAGGCGACGAUCCUUAGCUGGUCUGAGAGGAUGAUCAGCCACACUGGGACUGAGACACGGCCCAGACUCCUACGGGAGGCAGCAGUGGGGAAUAUUGGACAAUGGGCGAAAGCCUGAUCCAGCAAUGCCGCGUGAGUGAUGAAGGCCUUAGGGUUGUAAAGCUCUUUUACCCGGGAUGAUAAUGACAGUACCGGGAGAAUAAGCUCCGGCUAACUCCGUG